rnacentral:rRNA from 1 species
GAUGAACGCUGGCGGCGUGCCUAAUACAUGCAAGUCGAGCGAACGGACGAGAAGCUUGCUUUUCUGAUGUUAGCGGCGGACGGGUGAGUAACACGUGGAUAACCUACCUAUAAGACUGGGAUAACUUCGGGAAACCGGAGCUAAUACCGGAUAAUAUUUUGAACCGCAUGGUUCAAAAGUGAAAGACGGUCUUGCUGUCACUUAUAGAUGGAUCCGCUCUGCAUUAGCUAGUUGGUAAGGUAACGGCUUACCAAGGCAACGAUGCAUAGCCGACCUGAGAGGGUGAUCGGCCACACUGGAACUGAGACACGGUCCAGACUCCUACGGGAGGCAGCAGUAGGGAAUCUUCCGCAAUGGGCGAAAGCCUGACGGAGCAACGCUGCGUGAGUGAUGAAGGUCUUCGGAUCGUAAAACUCUGUUAUUAGGGAAGAACAUAUGUGUAAGUAACUGUGCACAUCUUGACGGUACCUAAUCAGAAAGCCACGGCUAACUACGUG